rnacentral:rRNA from 1 species
AUUGAACGCUGGCGGCAGGCCUAACACAUGCAAGUCGAACGAGUGGCGGACGGGUGAGUAAUGUCUGGGAAACUGCCCGAUGGAGGGGGAUAACUACUGGAAACGGUAGCUAAUACCGCAUACCAUCGGAUGUGCGCAGAUGGGACUAGCUAGUAGGUGGGGUGACGGCUCACCGAGGCGCCGAGCCCUAGCUGGUCUGAGAGGAUGACCAGCCACACGGGAACUGAGCCACGGUCCAGACGCCUACGGUAGGAAGCAGUGGGGAAGAUGGCACAAUGGGCGCAAGCCUGAUACAGCGAUGCCGCGUGUAUGAGGGAGGCCUGCGGGUUGUAGAGUACUUUCAGCGAGGAGGCGUUACUCGCAGAAGAAGCACCGGCUAACUCCGUGCCAGCAGCCGCGGUAAUUC